rnacentral:rRNA from 1 species
CACGUAGGGGGCAAGCGUUGUCCGGAAUUAUUGGGCGUAAAGAGCUCGUAGGCGGCUUGUUGCGUCGGUUGUGAAAGCCCGGGGCUUAACCCCGGGUCUGCAGUCGAUACGGGCAGGCUAGAGUGUGGUAGGGGAGAUCGGAAUUCCUGGUGUAGCGGUGAAAUGCGCAGAUAUCAGGAGGAACACCGGUGGCGAAGGCGGAUCUCUGGGCCAUUACUGACGCUGAGGAGCGAAAGCGUGGGGAGCGAACAGG